GACGAACGCUGGCGGCGUGCUUAACACAUGCAAGUCGAACGGAAAGGCCCUGCUUUUGUGGGGUGCUCGAGUGGCGAACGGGUGAGUAACACGUGAGUAACCUGCCCUUGACUUUGGGAUAACUUCAGGGAACUGGGGCUAAUACCGGAUAGGAGCUCCUGCUGCAUGGUGGGGGUUGGAAAGUUUCGGCGGUUGGGGAUGGACUCGCGGCUUAUCAGCUUGUUGGUGGGGUAGUGGCUUACCAAGGCUUUGACGGGUAGCCGGCCUGAGAGGGUGACCGGCCACAUUGGGACUGAGAUACGGCCCAGACUCCUACGGGAGGCAGCAGUGGGGAAUAUUGCACAAUGGGCGGAAGCCUGAUGCAGCAACGCCGCGCGCGGGAUGACGGCCUUCGGGUUGUAAACCGCUUUCGCCUGUGACGAAGCGUGAGUGACGGUAAUGGGUAAAGAAGCACCGGCUAACUACGUG
rnacentral:rRNA from 1 species